rnacentral:rRNA from 1 species
UACGUAGGCAGCAAGCGUUGUUCGGAGUUACUGGGCGUAAAGAGUGUGUAGGCGGCUUUCUAAGUUCGGUGUGAAAUCUCCCGGCUCAACUGGGAGGGUGCGCCGGAAACUGGAAGGCUGGAGUGUGGGAGAGGAAAGCGGAAUUCCUGGUGUAGCGGUGAAAUGCGUAGAUAUCAGGAGGAACACCGGUGGUGUAGACGGCUUUCUGGACCAUUACUGACGCUGAGACACGAAAGCGUGGGGAGCAAACAGG